GAGUAGUCAACAAACCCCAAACGUAACACGAGGUUGAAGACAAAGGAACCUUCUUCUAUCCAUGCUACGGAUGAGUAGUCAACAAACCCCAAACGUAACACGAGGUUGAAGACAAAGGAACCUUCUUCUAUCCAUGCUACGGAUGAGUAGUCAACAAACCCCAAACGUAACACGAGGUUGAAGACAAAGGAACCUUCUUCUAUCCAUGCUACGGAUGAGUAGUCAACAAACCCCAAACGUAACACGAGGUUGAAGACAAAGGAACCUUCUUCUAUCCAUGCUACGGAUGAGUAGUCAACAAACCCCAAACGUAACACGAGGUUGAAGACAAAGGAACCUUCUUCUAUCCAUGCUACGGAUGAGUAGUCAACAAACCCCAAACGUAACACGAGGUUGAAGACAAAGGAACCUUCUUCUAUCCAUGCUACGGAUGAGUAGUCAACAAACCCCAAACGUAACACGAGGUUGAAGACAAAGGA